rnacentral:rRNA from 1 species
UCUUUUUGUUUGAAUAUUUAAAGUCUCGCCUGCCCAAUGAAGUUUGAAUGGCCGCAGUAUUUUAACUGUGCUAAGGUAGCAUAAUCAUUAGUUUUUUAAUUGAAAGCUGGAAUGAAGGGUUGGAUGAAAAAAUAGCUGUCUCUUUAUAAUUAAUAUUGAAUUUUAUUUUUAAGUUCAAAAGCUUAAAUUUAUUUAAAAGACGAGAAGACCCUAUAGAGUUUUAUUUUAUUAUUAAUAAUAAAAUUUAGAAUUUAUUUUUAUUUUUUUUUAAUUAAAUUUGAUUGGGGUGAUUUAAAAAUUUAAUUAACUUUUUAUGUUUUAAGCUAUAAAUUUAUAUUUAUUUGAUCCAAGUUUAUUGAUUAAUAGAUAAGUUACCUUAGGGAUAACAGCGUAAUUUUAUUUUAGAGUUCUUAUUGAAAAUAAAGAUUGCGACCUCGAUGUUGGAUUAAAA